rnacentral:tRNA from 2 species
GGGUUCUUAGCUCAGCUGGUUAGAGCAUCUGUUUUACACACAGAAGGCCGUAGGUUCGAAUCCUACAGGGCCCA